rnacentral:rRNA from 1 species
AUACGUAGGUCCCGAACGUUGCGCGAAAUUACUGGGCGUAAAGGGUCCGUAGGCGGUCUGGUAAGUGGAAGGUGAAAGCCUGGGGCUCAACUCCAGAAUUGCCUUCCAAACUGCCGGACUUGAGGCAGGGAGAGGUCGGCGGAAUUCCCGGUGUGGUGGUGAAAUGCGUAGAUAUCGGGAGGAACACCAGUGGCGAAGGCGGCCGACUGGAACUGUCCUGACACUGAGGGACGAAAGCCAGGGGAGCGAACCGGAUUAGAAACCCUAGUAGUCC